rnacentral:rRNA from 1 species
CAGCAGCCGCGGUAAUACGGAGGGAGCUAGCGUUGUUCGGAAUUACUGGGCGUAAAGCGCACGUAGGCAGUUAUUCAAGUCAGAGGUGAAAGCCCGGGGCUCAACCCCGGAACUGCCUUUGAAACUAGAUGACUGGAAUCUUGGAGAGGUCAGUGGAAUUCCGAGUGUAGAGGUGAAAUUCGUAGAUAUUCGGAAGAACACCAGUGGCGAAGGCGACUGACUGGACAAGUAUUGACGCUGAGGUGCGAAAGCGUGGGGAGCAAACAGGAUUAGAUACCCGCGUAGUCCCUGUCUCUUAUAC